GUGCCAGCCGCCGCGGUAAUACGGAGGGUGCAAGCGUUGUCCGGAAUCACUGGGUGUAAAGGGUGUGCAGGCGGGGCAGCAAGUCGGAUGUGAAACCCUAUGGCUUAACCAUGGAGGUGCAUUCGAAACUGUUGCUCUUGAGUCCCGGAGAGGCUGUCGGAAUUCGUGGUGUAGCGGUGAAAUGCGUAGAUAUCACGAGGAACACCAGAGGCGAAAGCGGACAGCUGGACGGGUACUGACGCUCAGGCACGAAAGCCAGGGUCUCCAACCGGAUUAGAUACCCGUGUAGUCC
rnacentral:rRNA from 1 species